rnacentral:rRNA from 1 species
CCUACGGGAGGCAGCAGUGGGGAAUAUUGCACAAUGGGGGAAACCCUGAUGCAGCGACGCCGCGUGAGUGAAGAAGUAUCUCGGUACGUAAAGCUCUAUCAGCAGGGAAGAUAAUGACGGUACCUGACCAAGAAGCCCCGGCUAACUACGUGCCAGCAGCCGCGGUAAUACGUAGGGGGCAAGCGUUGUCCGGAUUUACUGGGUGUGAAGGGAGCGUAGACGGCAGCACAAGUCUGAAGUGAAAUCCCGGGGCUGAACCCCGGAACUGCUUUGGAAACUGUGCGGCUGGAGUGCAGGAGGGGUAAGCGGAAUUCCUGGUGUAGCGGUGAAAUGCGUAGAUAUUAGGAAGAACACCGGUGGCGAAGGCGGUCUGCUGGACAGCAACUGACGCUGAGGCGCGAAAGCGUGGGGAGCAAACAGGAUUAGAUACCCGGGUAGUC